AUGGAUGAAGAUAUGCACUGGGCUCCGAGCAGCCAACAUGUCUGCGUUCUGAUGGAGAUGCGUUUGCCUAGAAAGCAUUGUCUGACAGCUCUUUCAACACAUUAUCGUUCAUAUUUUAUUAACUAUCAAGGGCUGCAUUGUACCAAGGCCUGGGUUCUUUGUACCCUCGUCUUGCUCGCCAGAUUCGGCUGUAGUCAAACCAACAUGGAAGGAAAUCUGGUCGGCCUGCCCAUCUCAAUGGGCAACCCGCUUACCAACCUUCCUAUAUCUCAGCACUGCAUCUGUUCUUUCCAUCCUUUUAAGAUUAUGCGAGUGGGCAGUGGAGGGGAGUGGUGCAAUCCAUUCCUAAGCAGGCUCUCUCCGACAACAAGACCCGACUGUCCGUUUGUGAUUUGUAAUGAACCUGCGUCUCCUUUUAUUCGUUUCAAAUCCUGCGAGGAAGAUCGUACGGUGGCUCAUCAUCCAGGCAGCCUGUUGCCAAGUCUCAGGCUGCGUCACUGA
rnacentral:rRNA from 1 species